rnacentral:rRNA from 1 species
UUGCACGCUGGCGGCAGGCCUAACACAUGCAAGUCGAGCGGAUGAAGGGAGCUUGCUCCUGGAUUCAGCGGCGGACGGGUGAGUAAUGCCUAGGAAUCUGCCUGGUAGUGGGGGAUAACGUCCGGAAACGGGCGCUAAUACCGCAUACGUCCUGAGGGAGAAAGUGGGGGAUCUUCGGACCUCACGCUAUCAGAUGAGCCUAGGUCGGAUUAGCUAGUUGGUGGGGUAAAGGCCUACCAAGGCGACGAUCCGUAACUGGUCUGAGAGGAUGAUCAGUCACACUGGAACUGAGACGCGGUCCAGACGCCUACGGGAGGCAGCAGUGGGGAAUAUUGGACAAUGGGCGAAAGCCUGAUCCAGCCAUGCCGCGUGUGUGAAGAAGGUCUUCGGAUUGUAAAGCACUUUAAGUUGGGAGGAAGGGCAGUAAGUUAAUACCUUGCUGUUUUGACGUUACCAACAGAAUAAGCACCGGCUAACUUCGUG